GAAUUCGCCCUUAGAGUUUGAUCCUGGCUCAGAACGAACGCUGGCGGCAUGCCUAACACAUGCAAGUCGAACGAACCCUUCGGGGUGAGUGGCGCACGGGUGCGUAACGCGUGGGAACCUGCCUUUAGGUUCGGAAUAACAGUUAGAAAUGACUGCUAAUACCGAAUAAUGUCUUCGGACCAAAGAUUUAUCGCCUUUAGAUGGGCCCGCGUUGGAUUAGCUAGUUGGUGGGGUAAAGGCUCACCAAGGCGACGAUCCAUAGCUGGUCUGAGAGGAUGAUCAGCCACACUGGGACUGAGACACGGCCCAGACUCCUACGGGAGGCAGCAGUGGGGAAUAUUGGACAAUGGGCGAAAGCCUGAUCCAGCAAUGCCGCGUGAGUGAUGAAGGCCUUAGGGUUGUAAAGCUCUUUUACUAGGGAUGAUAAUGACAGUACCUAGAGAAUAAGCUCCGGCUAACUCCGUGCCAGCAGCCGCGGUAAUAAGGGCG
rnacentral:rRNA from 1 species